rnacentral:rRNA from 1 species
GGCUCAGGAUGAACGCUAGCGGCAGGCUUAAUACAUGCAAGUCGUGGGGCAGCAUGAGUAGCAAUACUUGAUGGCGACCGGCAAACGGGUGAGGAACACGUACACAACCUUCCUCAAGCGGGGAAUAGCCCAGAGAAAUUUGGAUUAAUACCCAUAAUAUAUUUGAUAAGGCAUCUUAUUAAUAUUAAAGCUUCGGCACUUGAUGAUGGGUGUGCGGCUGAUUAGAUAGUUGGCGGGGUAACGGCCCACCAAGUCUACGAUCAGUAGCUGAUGUGAGAGCAUGAUCAGCCACACGGGCACUGAGACACGGGCCCGACUCCUACGGGAGGCAGCAGUAAGGAAUAUUGGACAAUGGACGAAAGUCUGAUCCAGCCAUGCCCGCGUGAAGGAUUAAGGUCCUCUGGAUUGUAAACUUCUUUUAUAUGGGACGAAAAAAGGGCAUUCUUGUUCACUUGACGGUACCAUAUGAAUAAGCACCGGCUAACUCCGUG